GGGUGAGUAACACGUGGAUAACCUACCUAUAAGACUGGGAUAACUUCGGGAAACCGGAGCUAAUACCGGACAAUAUUUUGAACCGCAUGGUUCAAAAGUGAAAGACGGUCUUGCUGUCACUUAUAGAUGGAUCCGCGCUGCAUUAGCUAGUUGGUAAGGUAACGGCUUACCAAGGCAACGAUGCAUAGCCGACCUGAGAGGGUGAUCGGCCACACUGGAACUGAGACACGGUCCAG
rnacentral:rRNA from 1 species